ACUUUAGUAUGGUCCCUAAAAGGUGCCCCAGGCUGAGAUGAAUCAUAGCAGGUGCACAGCUGUGCUCUACUGAUGACUUUGCCUUUACAGCCUGCAGCAUCAUGGGGCCACACAGAUGCUUCAGUUCCAGCUGCUGGUGGGAGAAGGUCCAAGAUCUUGCCUCUGGCUUGGAGUCUUUCAGAAUGAUCGCCUGCAGAAGAACAAGAAGGCAAAGGCCACCAAAACGGCUUUUUGGCAUGAUUUACUUGCUGCAAUGCCUGUGACAAUGUGCAUUAAUUUCACUGGGGGUGAACAGAAAUGCACAGAGGCUAUUGAAUGUUGGGUUGUCCCUAGGCAUGUCUGAAUUGAAUCCCGAAGGACAUGACCUGGCCUUGGUAUCCACAGAGUGUUGGAGGUUGAGGUUCCAGGAUAAACCUGGGGUCAGCUUUAAUUCCUCAAGGGAGACUGGACUAGGUUCCUCUGGGAAAACACCCAGGCAGAAUAUGGGCUCCCAGGUUAUAAGGAUCCUUCAUAAAAGACAGAAGUCUCUUGAAGAAACUUAACCCCCAACAUAACCAACCUUACUAUAAUUUUUUAACCAUAAAUGAUUUAAAGAGCAGCUAGUCCAUAAUCUUAGCUUUUAUUAAAAAUAAGUUGUUGCUUUGUCAUGAAGACAUUAAUAAAACAUUUUCUUUUGUAGCAUAUUUUAAGCAAGUUACUUACAGCUCUCUGCCACAGUCUAGCAGGCUUCAUUUUGUUUUCCUCAGAGCAAAGAUGGAAUUCAGAGGUGGAACAACAAACUAAUUCAUGAAGUUUUGUGACAAUGGCCUGACAGACCGAAAUUCUACAUUUCCAACUUUAUUUGCAGUCGCUGGUUAUUCUGGUCAUUUAAAGAGAUGCAAUCUGCUACUAGGACAGUAUAGGAGUAGCUGGUACCAAACGUGUGUGCAAAUCUAAAAAUGGACCUGAGAGCUCAAUAAAAAUUCUUGGCACGGCCCAGCUAUUUGGUUUGGCCUUUCUGUGCAGGUCUACUCCACUUCUUCCAACAGUGUUGUUGUAUCAUCAGAAUCCAAGUACAGUGGCAGUAAACCGCCUUGAGAGCAAAGUGGACUUGGGGCAAAGUCCCAGGAUGCUACAGCAAGGGUGUGGUGGGCACUGCCAGCUGAUGUAAACACACAGGCAUGGUGUGCUUGAUGAGCUCCUAUCUGACCUUGAAUCCAUAGCUGUGUGGGGAGAGCAACCAGCUGCUGAGCUCCAAGUGCAGAAGAUGCCAAAAUCCACAAAAAAGUGUGACAAUCCUCAACGAAAGUUGACUCAUCGGCAUACCACAAGGUUACUAAAAUGGCAUACUGUUGAGUUCUCCUCUAACACGGCAUCUUGGAAGUGUACGGGCUGGUUUCUGCUGUGUUUUUCCUUCAAGGAUGGAGCCAAAGGGUUACUCAGACUGUAGCCUAACUGGCCUAGGAAGCAGCAAGUACACAGUACAUUUAAAAUGUUGGAUACAUUUAUCUCUUGGUCUGUUCCUGGGUGGCAGCCCUCUGACCAUCUGCCCUCUGUGCCUCUUGGCCUGGGCACCAGGGAUGGCAUCCUGCUGUAGGUGCUGCUGGGGAUGUGCACAAGGCUACCUAGGAAAGCUGAAAACUGUCCCAGCAGAAAUGGCAGAGAACUAACGCCAUUAGUCCUCCCUAUGGCACAGAAAAAAUAGAUAACAGCUUUGGGCAUUGAUUUUGCUGAGCUCAGAGUGAUUUUGGCUUCUGCAUCUGACGCAUAAGUAAUGAGGAAAGCUGUGAGCAUACUCCCUUACACGUUAUCCUUGCUGAAGGCUGCAGCGUGCUGGAUUAUUUUGUUCCCUGUGUUUUUCCAUGAGCCUUUCAGUACCAGAAUGCAGCACUGAAGCUUCAGCAGAUCCAUAUUUCGAUCUGCUCGUAAACUGUUCUGAGAGCAUAAGGUCAUCUUCACGCAAACUAGCUUGCUCAUCCUUAACAAAGUCUUAAAGGACUUUGCUUCUUGUCCCCAACUCCCUUACCUUGGAUUCUGACUGCCCCUGCUUGUUUAUUCAGUUCUGAAUAGUUGCUACUGACCAACGGCCAGGUCUUGCAAGCACUGUUGUUUUGCUGUGCUCAGAAGAUGAACAUGGAAGGUUAUGACAUCAGCAAAUAGGUGGAAGAAGCGGGAGAAGAAAAUACAAGUUUAGUUUUUUGCAGCAUCUUGGAUUGGACUUUGGCAUAGGAAGACAAAAUGCCCAGAAGGCUUUGUCUCUCCUAUCCAGGCCUCCUGACCGCUACUUCUCUCAUCAAACAGACUUAACCCCUUCCUGUCUAUUGCCUGUCUUGUCUGGGAAGGCCACUCACCAGUGUAACAGUGGAUCAACCUUCAAAAGCUGAACCAUCCUGUGUACAAUUGCAGCACUAUACAGCUACCAUGGAAGAGUAUUUUGAGUAUUUUGUGAUUCAUCUGCGGUGUGCUUGUUGGUAAUUCUCAUCUGAAUGAUGUUUUAUGCCUCAUUUUCCAGUCUGCUUUUGUUUUCAAGAAAAUAUAAACACUUUGUGCCAUCACAUCUCCUUCCGCAGCAGUACUGGUGGGAUUUCACCAUGGGCAUCUGCCACGUCUCUUCUGUACUCCUCACUGCUCUGCCUCUGACCUUGGAGAAAAUAAGCCCUCCUGGUAUCCUUUGCCAAUAAAAAAAAUCAUUUCUGUUUUAAUUUGCCUAUCAGGCUGUUCUGCUCUCCAUCCCAGUGCUGGCUUUAC